rnacentral:rRNA from 1 species
AUUGAACGCUGGCGGCAGGCCUAACACAUGCAAGUCGAACGAGUGGCGGACGGGUGAGUAAUGUCUGGGAAACUGCCUGAUGGAGGGGGAUAACUACUGGAAACGGUAGCUAAUACCGCAUACCAUCAGAUGUGCCCAGAUGGGAUUAGCUGGUUGGUGGGGUAACGGCUCACAAAGGCGACGAUCCCUAGCUGGUCUGAGAGGAUGACAGGCACACCGGGAAUGGAGACACGGUCCAGACUCCUCCGGGAGGCAGCAUUGGGGAAUAUUGGCCAAUGGGCGCAAGCCUGAUGCAGCCAUGCCGCGUGUAUGAAGAAGGCCGUCGGGUUGUAAAGUACUUUCAGCGGGGAGGCGUUACCCGCAGAAGAAGCACCGGCUAACUCCGUGCCAGCAGCCGCGGUAAUAC